rnacentral:tRNA from 1 species
CAUAUUAAAGUUUAUUUGAAUAUUUUCUUUUACAUUGAAGAGGGCUCUUAGUUGAGUAAUAUGAUAAAGAUAUUUUUGAUGGAA